GUACACUAGCCCCUGGAGAGGUCAAUAAGGAGGACAGGCUGGGCAGGGCAGAAGCACAAUCAAGCCAGGCAGUGGUGGUGGAGUGUCAUGGACCUCAUGGCAUGGUGGAGUGUCAUGGACCACAUGGCAUGGUGGAGUGUCAUGGACCACAUGGCAACCAUUUCGGCUUGACAAAGCUCCAGCAUUUGACUUUGCGGAUCACAAUUCUCCAGUCCAAAAAAGUGGGGGGAGUGUUCCCAUGGAAUCUUCACCCCAGCCCCUGACAUCCUUAUACCCAAAGAAUCUGGAAUGUUCUGGUGGAAGUUCCACCCUAAACCCCUUCCUCUGUCUCUCUCUGCAAACCCUGAUGUAUCUCAGAAAGCCUGCUAAAUAAUGACCUCUGCCCCCAGAAAUGCUCAAGACCACCCCCACAAGGUAUUUGAAGUGUCCCCCAGGAAACAGACAAUUGGUUUUCUGGUCUUUCUUUUCCAUCUCCUCUCUUGGGGGGCUGGGAAAUCAUCCGGAGCAUUUUAUCCAUUGAAUGUGGG
rnacentral:lncRNA from 1 species